UGGGGAAUAUUGCACAAUGGGCGCAAGCCUGAUGCAGCCAUGCCGCGUGUGUGAAGAAGGCCUUCGGGUUGUAAAGCACUUUCAGCGGGGAGGAAGGUGUCAAGGUUAAUAACCUUGGCAAUUGACGUUACCGACAGAAGAAGCACCGGCUAACUCCGUGCCAGCAGCCGCGGUAAUACGGAGGGUGCAAGCGUUAAUCGGAAUUACUGGGCGUAAAGCGCACGCAGGCGGUUGAUUGAGUCAGAUGUGAAAUCCCCGGGCUUAACCCGGGAAUUGCAUCUGAUACUGGUCAGCUAGAGUCUUGUAGAGGGGGGUAGAAUUCCAUGUGUAGCGGUGAAAUGCGUAGAGAUGUGGAGGAAUACCGGUGGCGAAGGCGGCCCCCUGGACAAAGACUGACGCUCAGGUGCGAAAGGGUGGGGAGCAAACAGG
rnacentral:rRNA from 1 species